GGUUCCAUGGUGUAAUGGUAAGCACUCUGGACUCUGAAUCCAGUGAUCCGAGUUCGAGCCUCGGUGGGACCU
rnacentral:tRNA from 1 species